CUAACACAUGCAAGUCGAACGGCAGCACGGGUGCUUGACACCUGGUGGCGGUGGCGAACGGGUGAGUAAUAUAUCGGAACAUGUCCGGAAGUGGGGGAUGCUCGGCGAAAGCCGGAUUAAUACCGCAUAUGCCCUGAGGGGGAAAGGAGGGAUCCGCAAGGACCUUUCGCUUUCGGAGUGGCCGAUAUCGGAUGAGCAGUUGGUGAGGUAAAGGCUCACCAAGGCGACGAUCCGUAGCUGGUCUGAAGGACGACCAGCCACACUGGAACUGAGACACGGUCCAGACUCCUACGGGGGCAGCAGUGGGGAAUUUUGGACAAUGGGGGCAACCCUGAUCCAGCCAUCCGCGUGAGUGAAGAAGGCCUUCGCGCUAGUAUACCUCUCUCACACGGACGAACCG
rnacentral:rRNA from 1 species